GACCCUCAGGUGUCUCGCGGGGGCCCUUGGCGGUCCCAGCAGAGGGUUUGCCCGUGAGAAGGUCUGGAAGUGCUGCUUCUUACAGGGCUGCCUUCAAUUAUUUCAGCUGCUCCGAGGUAUUUCAAAGUCAGACCAAAUAAACAUUUGUAUCUAAAAAAGGCGAAACAGGGUCAUUUGAAAUGGAGAAGAAAGCCUUUCCCGUAUCCGGAGGGUGUGGCCCGACAUUCCGGAGCAGCGGCAAGGGUUCUCUCUGGUUCUGUGCCUGUGCCAGGGCACCUACCCCAGCCCCUGCUUCAGGAGGGAAGUUAUUUUCUUUUAAAUCAAAUGUGUGGCGACCUAAGUUUCCUUUCCCUGAUUUGCUCCGUGGUCACCCUGGGCCCCCUGCUGCUGUCAGGUCAACAUCUUUAAAGGGCUCUCUGUGCUUUUCCUAAGAAGGGGACCACAACAGACUCGACAGGAUCCACCGGUUGGGCCCAAGGCAGGAGGAAGGGCGGCGCCCCCAAACUCCCAGGACGCCUGCAGCACCCCCCACGCGCCGCUCUCCGCCUCUGGGGAGCAUCCUGCCACCCCCCGACACACACACCCCGGCUACAUCCCGCCUUCUCACGCUUGGUCAGGCGCUCUGGAGAUGUCGGAGAUCCAGGCUUUUCCUAAAGAGUCAGGAUUGGAAGGCGGACUCCCACCGUUUGCUGAGCUCCACAUGACAACAGCAGACGACAGGCCGCACUGAUCCCACCUGGCUUACAGGUGCUGUCACACAGGUACGCCUUCUUGUGAAUCAUCAGUCACCAUUUGCCCCUCGCAGCAACCCUGUCUUGGAGGAAGGUCCUUGCCGACACCCGCCUCUCCCCACCCUUAGGCUCCCUUGCUCCUUCAUUCAACCAUUGUUUACAUGUCGUUCAGGACUGCUGACUAAACACUUUCAAGCACAGUGGACCCUUGAACAACGCAGGUUCAAACUGUGCAGGUCCACCCACAGGGAUGUUUUUCAAUCAGAGUUAUACCAAGUGUCCCUGCCUCUCCUGCCUCCCUUCCCACUUCCUCCAUGUCUUCCUCUCUGCCACCCUGAGGCAGCAAGACCAGCCCCUCCUCCUCAGCCACUCAACAUGAAGACAACGAGGAUGAAGACUUCUAUGAUAAUCCACUUCCACUUAGUAAAUGCUUUCUCUUAUGAUAUUCUUAAUGACAUUUUAUUUUCCCAAGCUUAGUUUAUUGUAAGAAUACAGUAUAAAUACACAUACAAAGUACGUGUUAACUGAUUUUUUAAUGUUACCAGUAAGGCUUCCAGUUAACAGUAGGCUAUUUAUUAGUUAAGUUUGGAGGGAGCCUGAAGUUAUACAAGCUCUGACUGCGUGAGGGGUUGGCUCUCCAACCCUCACAUUGUUCAAGGCUCAACUGCACCUCUCCUACCUAUCUCCCCCACCCUCUGAUGUAGUAGGAUAAAUAUAAAAACACUUAGAAAUCCUUGAAAACCAGGAAAAAUGCCACCAACAGACUAGAACAUUGGAGAAUUUCUGGAAGAUAUAAAGCGGAGGAGAUCAGAUUCGUGGUGAAACGCAAUAGAGCCAAUGGCCUGCAGGUGGGAGACCAUUUCAAGUCUGGAAAUGGGGUAGGGUGGGGGCAGUGGAGAAGGAAUGAGUCAUGGAGCUUGGAUACGGUAAUCACACAAACGGCUACCCAGGUGGCUGAGGCAGUGUCCUGCCUGUCCCCAGGGUAAAGUCUGAGUGCAGCAUUCAGACUGAAGACAAAGAUGCACCGGGAGCCUCCAGAGCCAACACUGGCCCAAAGAGAGAAGCAGGGGCCCGCCCAGGUGACUGCCAGGCACUGUCAGCCACACUGACAGGGAGAGCGGCCCAGAUGAGAGGCCCAGGAAGGCACUCUGCCUUUGCAACGUCCUGGCCUGUCUCCAUGACCACAGGUGCCCAGUGGUGCCAGGGUUGCCAGACAGUGGUGGUUUAGUUGUGUGCAAGAACUACUCUGCACAGCAAGAAUGAUUGGUUGAGACUGACAGAUCGCAAACACACUGCAUUCAGGAACCCUUCACCCUCUCUUAGAAAUGGCUGAGGGUCUCAGCGGGCUUUCAUUCAUAUGAGUUUAUCUAUCAAUAUUUACGGUAGUAGAAGUUCAAGUGAAAAAUAAAUAAAUAUUCAUUUAUCUUAAAAUAAUAAUGGC
rnacentral:lncRNA from 10 species